CAACUGACGUUCUUUCUACCGAUGUUGGCUUGCGUGUGUUGUCAUUGGCCGUCACCGUAUGGGAGGAGCGCAGAGAGGCGGACAGACGAGGUCGGCAAACGGAUUUAAACCAAGUUUGAACCAUUGCUUCGGUUUGUCAGUACUUUGAGAAAACUUAAUUACUGAAGAAGCCUGGAUGCUAAAUCAAGGUUUGGAACUGCUUUUUGUCGAACACGAGUGAGGCUGGACGCUGAGUACACCUGCGUUGCGAUGGUGUCACCACUUUGUCCACAACAUCAUCCACAAUCGCAGAGACAUGGUCCAUGAUCGGAGAGACAUUGUUGAGGAUGAGGGAGACAUUGUCCACGAUCAGAGACGUUGUCUAUGAUCACAGAGACCUUGUCAAAGAUGAGAGAGACGUUGUCCGUGAUCAGAGACAUUGUCCAUGCUUCGUAGAGACCUUGCGAUAGAAUCGGCGGAGACGGGGGUCACUGAUUUGACGGCAUUGCCCGCGAUCAGGGACAUUGUUGAUGACCACAGAGACAUCAUCUAUGAUCUCAGAGACAUCGUCCACGAUUACAAAGACAUAGUUCAUGAUUGCAGAGACAUUGUCCAUAAUCUCAGAGACAUUGUCCGCGAUCACAGAGACGUAGUCCACCAUCACAGAGAUGUAGUCCAAGAUCACAGAGAGUCUUUGUACAAUGAAGAAGUUCUUUAAGACCAAGACAGAGGCCUCCAGGUGUCACCACUUUGUCCACGACAUCGUCCACAAUCGCAGAGACAUGGUCCAUGAUCGGAGAGACAUUGUUGAGGAUGAGGGAGACAUUGUCCACGAUCAGAGAUGUUGUCUAUGAUUGCAGAGACCUUGUCAAAGAUGAGAGAGACGUUGUCCGUGAUCAGAGACAUUGUCCAUGCUUCGUAGAGACCUUGCGAUAGAAUCGGCGGAGACGGGGGUCACCGAUUUGACGGCAUUGCCCGCGAUCAGGGACAUUGUUGAUGACCACAGAGACACCGUCUAUGAUCUCAGAGACAUCGUCCACAAUCACAAAGACAUAGUCCAUGAUUGCAGAGACAUUGUCCAUAAUCUCAGAGACAUUGUCCGCGAUCACAGAGACGUAGUCCACCAUCACAGAGAUGUAGUCCAAGAUCACAGAGAGUCUUUGUACAAUGAAGAAGUUCUUUCAGACCAAGACAGAGGCCUCCAGGAGGAGAAGACAGCAGCAGCUGAAGACCUGAAGUGGAUGAGAGAAAACAAAAGUGUUAUGAAGCUGCUAAUUAGAUAAAAGACCUCCACCAUCUAACUGCUGUAAACAGUGCUGGUUUCCUGUUGUUCAAGUGAAAACACUUUGUUUUUCUCUACCAUCUGUAAUGCAGCCAUGGGCACAAGACUUUAUUAAACACCUUUGAGAACAUCCAAGGGCUUAUGAUACAACUAUUUAAUAAUUGUAUCACAAGCAGUUAGAUGAUCACAAAGAUGCUUAGUAGACGUGUUAGUCUUUGGAAAAUGUGCUCAUAACUACUAACUGUUUCUGUGUGGUUAAAUGUUGUCUGGAAUAAAAUAAUAGUCU